ACGGGUGUAGCUCAAUUGGUAGAGCGACGGUCUCCAAAACCGUAGGUUGUGGGUUCGAUCCCUGCCACCCGUGCCA
rnacentral:tRNA from 1 species